GGUUAGAUCUGGGCUCAAUUCAGCUGACGGAUCAAUGUAACUCGCAGUUCUGUUGGUAAUAUACUAUGUUUUAAAAUUAUUUUAGCUUUAUUUCUAUGUUCAUAUAAUGAAUAAGACUUUCAUGUUGCUGUCUUGCUCAUAUUUGUAAUCAGCAGAUCUGUUGUUGAUAUCUGCUUUUUAUGAAAUUGUUAAUGUUUUUUAGUUUUUUGCAGGAUAAAGAAAUGGCUUCUGCUGACAAUUCGUUGCAGUUUACGCUCUUUUUAUGGUAUCUAUCCUCGUCAUGGUGUCCGAGCAGAGACAUCUAUUCUUGUUGAUGCUCAAGGCCCGAAAUCAUUUGCGGAUGCUGGAUGAUGGACUUAGAAAGGAUAAAAAUUCUGUCUACAUGGAUACAAGGUUCUAACAUGUUUAAUGGCUUUCAUAAUUAUGAUUCAUUUAAUGUUAAUUCGAAAAAAUGAGCUAGAAGUAGUUGUGACAAGAUAUUUAGAAAAGAGAGGCUAUGUGUAAGAAAAGAGUGGCUUAUGUUCGUCUCGCCGACCUUUGCCAUGUCGGGUGCGCUCACAUGGCAGGUCAAAAGCUCAAUAAAAUACAUAAUAUUUUUGAUUUUGAGGAGAGAUGGUACGGGGAUUUUUGCCCGGCUCUCUCCGCGUGUGGUGUCUUUUUAUUCUUUUCCUUUCUCUCCUCGUUCUCGUUUCUAUUGCUGCGAUAAUUUUAUUUCUGUUUGGUCCUUGAAUGGGUUGGGGCCUUUUCCUGUGUUACAAAGAUGUCAUGAAACCCGUUCAAGGAUAAAGCAUAAUUUAUUUUUUUCCCGGAGCAAAGUCACCAGUAAGUCGCCAAUGCCAGAAUGGGUCUUCUCAAGUAUCAACGAUUUCCCAAGGUACAAUGUUAGAUAUUUAUUAGCUAGCAUCUGAUUGAUUAAAAACAUUUCAAACUUACAAUUGUUUAGCCAUUCCAUCUCAUAUUAAAGUUGAGCGGUUAGAUAGGAAAGCUAUGUCUGCAAAAAUUAGGCUUUAUUUUGUGUUUCAAGAUUUAGCAGUUUUUGAUAAAAAGUUUGUUAAAAUGUGGAGAACAUAAACGCUGCUUGUCCCGAGAUGUUUUUGAUAAACUUUCAGCCAUGAUAUUUUUUAUUAAACAAGCUACAUAUUAACUUGCUUAAUAUAUUGGUAUUUUCUUGACCAUGUACCCAACUUCUUGCAAUCUCAUGAUUUGAUGGGUAACUUCUCGGAAUAUCCUUACUAUCUUGGAUUUUGGGUAAACACUCAAUUGAAAGCUUAAGAAUUUUUGAAUGGUGAUCAUUUAUUUCGUCCAUCUAUAAUUAAAUACCAUUCCUGAAUUUGCCGAAGAAUAGAAAGGCUCAAAUCAAUUUGUUGUCAUAAUGUUUUGGUGAACGUCAAACAUGGUUAUUUGGCAAAUCCAAUUUUACCGGAGAUAUCAUAAAUAUGUUUCACAUGUAAUUUACAUAUGGCAAUGUUAACAAAAUUAUCUUAUCUACUAUCCCGAUCCUGAAUUCGUAACAUUCACUAUGAAGAUCAAUCCUGAGCAACUAACAAUUUUCGCUUCAAUUCAGUUGUAUAGUACAAAGUACGAGCGGAAUUUAUUGCUUGUUGUAGCUUUAUUUUUCCUGGUCCUAUACAUAUAUGAAUCUUAUUCGUACUGUUUUUUACCUGGUGUUGAAUUUAUUUUGUCAUUCUUGGGUCAUUAUCCUGCUGGAGUGUAUUGUAGAUUUAUUGGUAUUGACCAGAAGCCUUCUUUCUGUAAUGUAAUUGAAGGCCAUUACGCAUGGUAUGUAGAUGAGGAAUGCAGAUCUUUUUGAUUUAUACACUAGAUCAGCGUUUCUCCAUUUUCCUUCCAUGGGAAAAUGUUUGCAACUUUUUGUGUCAUGUUGGUUUGGAUUGCCUCACGGAGUGGAAAUACAUGAAGAUGAUCCUGUUUGUUUUUGCUGUUGAUCCGCUGCUGCUGCCUCUGCCUCUGCCUCUGCCUCUGCCUCUGCUGCUGCUGCUGCUGCUAUUGCUAAACUUGAUACUUCAAGAUGCCUCAUCCUUCAAAGCAUCUAGAACCUGUGGAUUGCGAUGAAUGUUUGUGAUAUAUCUCAUUUAAUGCUUGUGCCAUGUUCAUUCCUUUGUGCUGUCCCUGCAAACUUGCUGAAGGUGCGUGCUGCUGCUGCUUGAUAUCUAUGAUUUGGCCAGUCCUGUGUUACAAUAUGCACAGGCUGAUCAUCAAAAUUCUUCACUCUUGAUACUGUUUUAGUGAACUGUUAAUCCUAUAAACGAUGCUAUUUGUUGAGUUCCUCAUUCACAAACUGGUGGCCAUAAAUGGUGUUAAUGUUCAUGACGGUUGUUGAUAUGGAUCUUGUAUCGCUUUGCUUCUGCACUAUAAGUUGUUUAUGUCGAUAAUUAUUCGAGGCGGUUGAUCAGUUACAGUUAUUUGAUGUAGUUCAUGGUAAUGGUAAUGGAUUUUUUUAGUGGAUUUAAUUGCGAUUUUUUUAGCGUUUAAUGUCUUAAUUUCUAUCUUAUGUUUUUGUAGGUGGACUUGGGAUCUAUUUCGUUGUGUUUAUAGGGAUGAACAUUAGCCUUGGGAGAAAGUUAAGUGAGGUACAUGUCCAAGGCGCUGUUUUAAAACCACUGUAAGUGGGAAUACAUUUAUAAUUGUAUUUACAAGUAAUAUAUAGUCGAGAAAUUUGCGUGUUGAGGUUUUGAUUAUUUUAUGUAUUUAGAGGAGAAAAUAAGCUAUGAAUGUUUAGUAGUUUUCCUUAUCCCUAAGAACUGUCGACCAAACAUACACUGCCUUGAGGCGGGUACCUGCUCGAUGCGUAUCUCAAAUUGCGUUGUC
rnacentral:lncRNA from 1 species